rnacentral:rRNA from 1 species
UACGUAGGGGGCAAGCGUUAGGCGGAAUCACUGGGCUUAAAGCGCGUGUAGGUGGCGGCCUAAGUACCUUGUGAAAUCCUGCGGCUCAACCGCAGAACUGCUUGGUAUACUGGGUCGCUUGAGCCAUCCAGGGGCAACUGGAACAAGCGGUGGAGCGGUGAAAUGCGUAGAUAUCGCUUGGAACGCCAAAGGUGAAAACAGGUUGCUGGGGAUGCGCUGACACUGAGACGCGAAAGCCAGGGGAGCGAACGGG